rnacentral:rRNA from 1 species
UGGGGAAUCUUAGACAAUGGGGGAAACCCUGAUCUAGCGAUGCCGCGUGUGUGACGAAGGCCUUAGGGUCGUAAAGCACUUUCGCCAGAGAUGAUAAUGACAGUAUCUGGUAAAGAAACCCCGGCUAACUCCGUGCCAGCAGCCGCGGUAAUACGGAGGGGGUUAGCGUUGUUCGGAAUUACUGGGCGUAAAGCGUACGUAGGCGGAUUAGUAAGUUAGAGGUGAAAUCCCAGGGCUCAACCCUGGAACUGCCUUUAAUACUGCUAGUCUAGAGUUCGAGAGAGGUGAGUGGAAUUCCAAGUGUAGAGGUGAAAUUCGUAGAUAUUUGGAGGAACACCAGUGGCGAAGGCGGCUCACUGGCUCGAUACUGACGCUGAGGUACGAAAGUGUGGGGAGCAAACAGGAUUAGAUACCCUGGUAGUCCACACCGUAAACGAUGAAUGCCAGUCGUCGGGUAGUAUACUAUUCGGUGACACACCUAACGGAGUAA